rnacentral:lncRNA from 1 species
CAACAACAACAACAACAAACCCAGUGUAUUCCCACUUAGUGGGGUCUGGGGGGGUAAGAUGUACGCAGUCCAUACCUCUACCUUUGAUGAAGUAGAAAGGCUGUUUCCGAAAGACCCCCGGCUCAAGGCACAAGAUAUCACACAAACACAUAGUAAAGCACAGAAGCAGAUGACAUAACAUAAAUACGGCACCCAUAAGGAAUAUAAAACAGAGGAAAGCAGAGGAAAGCACACAGAUUCGUAAUAAGCAUGGAACACUGAAUACGGAAUCAUAACGGGAAUAAAAAAUAAAAAAUAAAAAAAACCCCACCAAGUAAUUCCUUACACUAGCGACCCAAUCUGGCCCUACUCUUCUUCCGUAAUUCGCGUCUUCCAGACCUUCCUAUCUAGGGUCAUGUCCUCGGUAAGCUGUAACUGUUCCAUGUCCCGCCUAAUCACCUCACCCCAGUACUUCUUCGGUCUACCCCUACCCCGUCUAAAACCAUCCAACGCUAGCCUCUCACACCUACGGACCGGGGCAUCCAUGCCCCUCCUCUUCACGUGUCCGAACCAUCUCAAUCGUGCUUCCCGCAUCUUACACUCCACUGAAGUCACACCAACCUUCUCCCGGAUAGUCUCAUUCCGAACUCUAUCCC